ACCUGAUUAGCUCAGUGGGUAGAGCAUGAGAUUCUUAAUCUCAGGGUCAUAGGUUCAUGCCCUACGUUGGGCA
rnacentral:tRNA from 1 species